AUUGAACGCUGGCGGCAGGCCUAACACAUGCAAGUCGAACGAGUGGCGGACGGGUGAGUAAUGUCUGGGAAACUUCCUGAUGGAUGGGGAUAACUACUGGAAACGGUAGCUAAUCCCGCAUUCCAUGAGCUUUGCCCAGAUGGGAUUAGCUAGUGGGUGGGGUAAAGGCUCACCUAGGCGACGAUCCCUAGCUGGUCUGAGAGGAUGACCAGUCACACUGGAACUGAGACACGGUCCAGACUCCUACGGGAGGCAGCAGUGGGGAAUAUUGAACAAUGGGCGCAAGCCUGAUGCAGCCAUGCCGCGUGUAUGAAGAAGGCCUUCGGGUUGUAAAGUACUUUAAGCGGGGAGGCGUUACCCGCAGAAGAAGCACCGGCUAACUCCGUGCCAGCAGCCGCGGUAAUUC
rnacentral:rRNA from 1 species